UUUCUAAAGUAUUUUUAAAAUCCAAAUAUCAUAAUUCACUUGCCCUAAUGUAUUUGAAGUUACUUGUUCAAUAACUCUGUCUCGACCCCAAUUGAUGAUCUGAUGGAAAAGUAAUCCACGAGGUCACAAAGGUCAAAGAGGAAGAUGUUUAUAUCCAAAUUGACAGUAGAGCAAUAACAUCAAAAGAUUCUAGGAACAAGGAAGAAU
rnacentral:lncRNA from 1 species